rnacentral:rRNA from 1 species
AUUGAACGCUGGCGGCGUGCCUAACACAUGCAAGUCGAGCGGUAACAGGUGUAGCAAUACAUGCUGACGAGCGGCGGACGGGUGAGUAACGCUUGGGAAUCUGCCUAUUAGUGGGGGACAACCCGGGGAAACUCGGGCUAAUACCGCAUACGCUCUACGGAGGAAAGCCGGGGACCGCAAGGCCUGGCGCUAAUAGAUGAGCCCAAGUCGGAUUAGCUAGUUGGUAGGGUAACGGCCACCAAGGCUACGAUCCGUAACUGGUCUGAGAGGACGACCAGUCACACCGGAACUGAGACACGGUCCGGACUCCUACGGGAGGCAGCAGUGGGGAAUAUUGGACAAUGGGGAAACCCUGAUCCAGCGACGCCGCGUGGGUGAAGAAGGCCUGCGGGUUGUAAAGCCCUUUCAGUGGGGAAGAAAAGCCUCGACCUAACACGUCGGGGUCUUGACGUAACCCAUAGAAGAAGCACCGGCUAACUCUGUGCCAGCAGCCGCCGCGGUAAC